AAUUGACGGGGACCCGCACAACGGUGGAGCAUGUGGUUUAAUUCGAAGCAACGCGAAGAACCUUACCAGGUCUUGACAUCCCACUGACCGGUGUAGAGAUACGCCUUUCCCUUCGGGGACAGUGGUGACAGGUGGUGCAUGGUUGUCGUCAGCUCGUGUCGUGAGAUGUUGGGUUAAGUCCCGCAACGAGCGCAACCCUUUUCCUUAGUUACCAGCGGGUUAAGCCGGGAACUCUAAGGAUACUGCCAGUGACAAACUGGAGGAAGGCGGGGACGACGUCAAGUCAUCAUGGCCCUUACGACCAGGGCUACACACGUGCUACAAUGGUAGGUACAGAGGGCAGCUACACAGCGAUGUGAUGCGAAUCUCAAAAAGCCUAUCGUAGUCCAGAUUGGAGUCUGCAACUCGACUCCAUGAAGUAGGAAUCGCUAGUAAUCGCGGAUCAGAAUGCCGCGGUGAAUACGUUCCCGGGCCUUGUACACACCGCCCGUCACACCAUGGGAGUUGAUUGCACCAGAAGUGGAUAGCCCUAANCCGUAAGGAAGGCGUUCACCACGGUGUGGUUGAUGACUGGGGUGAAGUCGUAACAAGGUAGCCGUAGGGGAACCUGCGGCUGGAUCACCUCCUUA
rnacentral:rRNA from 1 species